CAGUCGCCACGGUAAUACGAAGGGUGCAAGCGUUAAUCGGAAUUACUGGGCGUACAGCGUGCGUAGGCGGUGAGUUAAGUCUGCUGUGAAAUCCCCGGGCUCAACCUGGGAAUGGCAGUGGAUACUGGCUCGCUAGAGUGUGUCAGAGGAUGGUGGAAUUCCCGGUGUAGCGGUGAAAUGCGUAGAGAUCGGGAGGAACAUCAGUGGCGAAGGCGGCCAUCUGGGACAACACUGACGCUGAGGCACGAAAGCGUGGGGAGCAAACAGGAUUAGAUACCCCAGUAGUCCCUGUCUCUUAUAC
rnacentral:rRNA from 1 species